UGUUGUCUGAAUAUUGAAGUCUAGAAAGGCUAGAAAUCAUUUCCAGCCAAAUAUGAAAACCAUGAGAUCAUUGAGGACCCAACCUUAAGCAUCUUACCUUAAUGGAGAAGCCUCAUUCAGUUUUAUAUUAUGCAUUGACAUCUGGUUGUUCAACUUGUUAGUAGACGUGUCUAAUUUUCAAUCCUUGUUUGCAUAUUGCUUCAAAGUAUAAUCACAAACCUAGCUCUCCUUUCUUCUGUUCAGAUUGAGCUGAGAUUGUAGCCCUCUUGGUUGGCCUUAGAGAGAGUAAGUGGAUGGAGAUGACAUGCAUUGUAUUGAGCGUUAUAAGGUAGUCAUCUCGUGGAGGAGUAUUGAGUAAGGAUUUGCAGUAUUACACCUUGUGCAUGAUGUUUUGACAUUUUUGGUGGAGUUCCGAAGGAGAUUUCUCAGGGUUUUUUUCUUUUCCUUUUUCCUAAAAGGAGAAUCAUUUCUGACUUUUCUGAAUUCUUAGUGCUGACUGUUACAAGUGAUCUGUAUAAUUUUCUACUACGAAGUAAUGAAAACCCGUGCCUUCUGUUAAUAAAAUCAUCAUGGCCAGGGAGAUACACCAGAUUCCAUGAAGGUCUUUUGGAAGUUUCUUCUGCAAAGAAAUUUAAGUAAGCAUUGGCUGGAAGGUGUUCGCUAUGCUGCGUUUGGUUUGGGUGAUUCUGGUUGUCAGAAAUAUAAUGUAAUAAUUUCUAGAGUUUUAUUUAUUAUUUAGAAAAUAGAUAAAGGUUGACAUCUGUGGGUUUGUUAUGCAAUUUAUGUUAUCAAUCACCAUGCUAUAAAAAUUGUGAAGUUUUUUU